UCUGGGUUGAAGCCGCAGGACCAACUUCUAAGGGAGGGGAGAGGCAGGAGAGCAGAGCUCGGAGUCCACAUCCGAGAAGCUCUUGGGACCCCCAAGUCCAAGAUAUUUCACUACCGGCGAAGGAACUCGCCCUCAACUACUGGAAAAAUGCUGGCCGCGCAUCUGGCUUCGUCAUCCCCUGGGAGUUCCUUCUGAUCUUCCUGCCUUUGGCAGCCUGGCUCCAGUGGAAUGUGCCCGCUGUGGUACCUAACAAGUUCAAGGAGAGGUCCUGGCGGUCCAUCAAGAGGCGCUGCUUUAGGCUUGGCAAAGUCGUGUGCCUGGCACAGAUCAUGGAGCAACCCGC
rnacentral:lncRNA from 1 species